rnacentral:siRNA from 1 species
GGGUUGGCUGAUUUUCGAGC